rnacentral:tRNA from 1 species
AUUAGUUUAGUGUAACGAGCACAUAAAAUUUUGAUUUUUAAAGUUAAUAAAAUUAACUAUUAAUC